GGGUCGGAAGGAAUUGUCCGUGA
rnacentral:siRNA from 1 species